rnacentral:misc_RNA from 1 species
AAGUCGUAACAAGGUUUCCGUAGGUGAACCUGCGGAAGGAUCAUUAACACUUUGAAUCCCUGAAUUUCUUUCCAACUCUUUCGUUGGAGGAAAUUCUUAACCCCACACUUUGCGAACGAUGAUUUAUAUUAUCCGCAAGGAUAGUAUUUAUCCCCUUUUUCUCCUUUUUAUUUUUUUAUUUUUACCCCAAUUUACAUCAAUUCGACUGAUAUAAACUUUUUUUUUUCUUCCAUUUUCAAUGGAGAAAAGAAAAACAAAAAAAACAAUGGUUAAAACAACUCUUAGCAACGGAUAUCUUGGCUCUC